AGGGUUAUGGGGAGAGACUGGUGGUUGAGGAGGGUUAUGGAGAGAGGGGUGGUUGAGGAGGGUUAUGGGGAGAGAGGGGUGGUUGAGGAGGGUUAUGGGGAGAGAGGGGUGGUUGAGGAAGAUAGAAGCUAUGGAGGAUGAAGUGGAGACUAUAGAGGAGAUGGAAUAGCAGACUGGUAAGUGGAGAGUAUAGAGGAGAUGGAAUAGCACACUGGUAAGUGGAGAGUAUAGAGGAGAUGGAAUAGCAGACUGGUAGGUGGAGACUAUAGAGGAGAUGGAAUAGCAGACUGGUAGGUGGAGAUGGAAUAGCAGACUGGUUAGAGGAGAUGGAAUAGCAGACUGGUUAGAGGAGAUGGAAUAGCAGACUGGUUAGAGGAGAUGGAAUAGCACACUGGUAGGUGGAGAUGGAAUAGCAGACUGGUAGGUGGAGGUGGAAUAGCAGACUGGUAGGUGGAGACUAUAGAGGAGAUGGAAUAGCAGACUGGUUAUAGGAGAUGGAGUAGCAGACUGGUAGGUGGAAUAGCAGACUGGUUAUAGGAGAUGGAAUAGCAGACUGGUAGGUGGAAUAGCAGACUGGUAGGUGGAGACUAUAGAGGAGAUGGAAUAGCAGACUGGUUAUAGGAGAUGGAGUAGCAGACUGGUUAGAGGAGAUUCAUACCUAGUCAAUAGGACAACUGAAAUGUG